rnacentral:rRNA from 1 species
GACGAACCGAGCGAACGUUGUUCGGAAUUACUGGGCGUAAAGGGCGCGUAGGCGGCCUGCUAAGUCGAACGUGAAAUCCCCGGGCUCAACCCGGGAACUGCGUCCGAUACUGGCAGGCUUGAAUCCGGGAGAGGGAUGUGGAAUUCCAGGUGUAGCGGUGAAAUGCGUAGAUAUCUGGAGGAACACCGGUGGCGAAGGCGGCAUCCUGGACCGGUAUUGACGCUGAUGCGCGAAAGCCAGGGGAGCAAACGGG